CAGGUUACACUCGUCGGUUCACUUGAAAUGCCUAAAGCUGAUUUCUGGGUUAUGAUUGCCAUCCUUUCUGCUCUGGCUGGAUAUUGUGCUAAGAUCUAUUUCUCAUCAAGGAGGUCAUAAUCGCAUACUAUAUAUUGAUGGAAAAUGGAAAGGUUACUGUUGAGGAUCUUGAUUUGCAAUGCGAGGAGCUAAUCCAGGAAGAGUUUGGUUUGCAAUGUAAUUUUGAGGUGAUGGAUGCUCUUCAAAAGUU